GAAAAUUUUAUGCCAAUUGUUUAUGGAGUAUUGGCUGUCUUUACAUUUUUCACUUUACUGGCAUUUUUAAGUGGAUGUUUCAAAUCAAGAAUACAAGCAGCAUUUCCUUUUCAUCUCUCAUGCUGUGGCUACACUGGUGAGCAGGAAGAAGAGGAGCCCACGGUAAUUUAUUCAUCUGUUAUCACCAGGACUCCUCCAAAACCAGGAAACCAACACACAGAUGGCAACGACUGUGUUUACAGCGAAUUAAAACUAUAGAGGAAAUUCCCCGGGUUAAAAAAGAAAAACACUAAAUGGAACAGUUGAUGACUGUCAUUUUCAUGCUGCCUAUAGAUUUAGACUAUUUUUAAUGAGUUUACCCACAAUGAGUGUAUCUUCCAGUUUUUAAACUACUGAAUGAUUAAGUUAUAUAUCUCCAGCAGCCAUUGGGCGAGAGGCAGGGUAGUCCAUCACAGGGCAACAUAGAGAGACAAAAGACAAACAACCAAACA